rnacentral:rRNA from 1 species
AUUGAACGCUGGCGGCAUGCCUUACACACGCAAGUCGAACGGUAACAGGUCUUCGGAUGCUGACGAGUGGCGAACGGGUGAGUAAUACAUCGGAACGUGCCUAGUAGUGGGGGAUAACUACUCGAAAGAGUGGCUAAUACCGCAUGAGAUCUACGGAUGAAAGCAGGGGAUCGCAAGACCUUGUGCUACUAGAGCGGCCGAUGGCAGAUUAGGUAGUUGGUGGGAUAAAAGCUUACCAAGCCGACGAUCUGUAGCUGGUCUGAGAGGACGAUCAGCCACACUGGGACUGAGAAACGGCCCAGACUCCUACGGGAGGCAGCAGUGGGGAAUUUUGGACAAUGGGCGCAAGCCUGAUCCAACAAUGCCGCGUGCAGGAUGAAGGCCUUCGGGUUGUAAACUGCUUUUGUACGGAACGAAAAGCCCCGGGUUAAUACCCUGGGGUCAUGACGGUACCGUAAGAAUAAGCACCGGCUAACUACGUGCCAGCCGCCGCGGUAA